rnacentral:rRNA from 1 species
GGUAGCGAAAUUCCUUGUCGGGUAAGUUCCGACCUGCACGAAUGGCGUAACGAUCUCCCCGCUGUCUCUAACGUGGACUCAGCGAAAUUGAACUGUGUGUCAAGAUGCACACUACCCGCGGUUAGACGGAAAGACCCCAUGAACCUUUACUCCAGCUUUGCACUGGUAUCAGGAUUGUGAUGUGCAGGAUAGGUGGUAGGCAUUGAAGCGGGGACGCCAGUCUUCGUGGAGCCUCCCUUGAGAUACCACCCUUCGCCAUCUUGAUAUCUAACCGCGGCCCGUUAUCCGGGUCCGGGACCCUGCAUGGUGGGGAGUUUGACUGGGGCGGUCGCCUCCCAAAUUGUAACGGAGGCGCGCGAUGGUUGGCUCAGACCGGUCGGAAAUCGGUCGUUGAGUGCAAUGGCAGAAGCCAGCCUGACUGCAAGACUGACAAGUCGAGCAGAGACGAAAGUCGGUCAUAGUGAUCCGGUGGUCCCAAGUGGGAGGGCCAUCGCUCAACGGAUAAAAGGUACUCUGGGGAUAACAGGCUGAUGAUGCCCAAGAGUCCAUAUCGACGGCAUCGUUUGGCACCUCGAUGUCGGCUCAUCUCAUCCUGGGGCUGGAGCAGGUCCCAAGGGUACGGCUGUUCGCCGUUUAAAGAGGUACGUGAGCUGGGUUUAGAACGUCGUGAGACAGUUCGGUCCCUAUCUGCCGUGGGUGCAGGAGACUUGAGAAGAGUUGACCCUAGUACGAGAGGACCGGGUUGAACGAACCACUGGUGGACCAGUUAUCGUGCCAACGGUAGUGCUGGGUAGCUAUGUUCGGACAGGAUAACCGCUGAAGGCAUCUAAGCGGGAAGCCCCCUUCAAAACAAGGUCUCCCUUGAGAGCCGUGGAAGACCACCACGUCGAUAGGCCAGAGGUGUAAGUGCAGCAAUGCAUUCAGCUGACUGGUACUAAUUGCUCGAUUGGCUUGAUCUG